rnacentral:rRNA from 1 species
GACGAACGCUGGCGGCGUGCUUAACACAUGCAAGUCGAACGGAAAGGCCCUGCUUUUGUGGGGUGCUCGAGUGGCGAACGGGUGAGUAACACGUGAGUAACCUGCCCUUUACUUUAGGAUAACUUCAGGAAACUGGGGCUAAUACCGGAUAGGAGCUCCUGCUGCAUGGUGGUGGUUGGAAAGUUUCGGCGGUUGGGGUUGGACUCGCGGCUUAUCAGCUUGUUGGUGGGGUAGUGGCUUACCAAGGCUUUGACGGGUAGCCGGCCUGAGAGGGUGACCGGCCACAGUGGGACUGAGAUACGGCCCAGACUCCUACGGGAGGAAGAAGUGGGGAAUAUUGCAAAAUGGGCGGAAGCCUGAUGCAGCAACGCCGCGUGCGGGAUGACGGCCGUAGGGUUGGAAACCGCUUUCGCCUGUGACGAAGCGUGAGUGACGGUAAUGGGUAAAGAAGCACCGGCUAACUACGUG